GUACGUACAAGCAGUGGGAGCACCCUUUGGGUGUGACUGCGUACCUUUUGUAUAAUGGGUCAGCGACUUAUAUUCUGUAGCAAGGUUAACCGAAUAGGGGAGCCGGAGGGAAACCGAGUCUUAACCGGGCGUUAAGUUGCAGGGUAUAGACCCGAAACCCGGUGAUCUAGCCAUGGGCAGGUUGAAGGUUGGGUAACACUAACUGGAGGACCGAACCGACUAAUGUUGAAAAAUUAGCGGAUGACCUGUGGCUGGGGGUGAAAGGCCAAUCAAACCGGGAGAUAGCUGGUUCUCCCCGAAAGCUAUUUAGGUAGCGCCUCGUGAAUUCAUCUCCGGGGGUAGAGCACUGUUUCGGCUAGGGGGCCAUCCCGGCUUACCAACCCGAUGCAAACUGCGAAUACCGGAGAAUGUUAUCACGGGAGACACACGGCGGGUGCUAACGUCCGUCGUGAAGAGGGAAACAACCCAGACCGCCAGCUAAGGUCCCAAAGUCAUGGUUAAGUGGGAAACGAUGUGGGAAGGCCCAGACAGCCAGGAUGUUGGCUUAGAAGCAGCCAUCAUUUAAAGAAAGCGUAAUAGCUCACUGGUCGAGUCGGCCUGCGCGGAAGAUGUAACGGGGCUAAACCAUGCACCGAAGCUGCGGCAGCGACACUGUGUGUUGUUGGGUAGGGGAGCGUUCUGUAAGCCUGUGAAGGUGUGUCGUGAGGCAUGCUGGAGGUAUCAGAAGUGCGAAUGCUGACAUAAGUAACGAUAAAGCGGGUGAAAAGCCCGCUCGCCGGAAGACCAAGGGUUCCUGUCCAACGUUAAUCGGGGCAGGGUGAGUCGACCCCUAAGGCGAGGCCGAAAGGCGUAGUCGAUGGGAAACGGGUUAAUAUUCCCGUACUUGGUGUUACUGCGAAGGGGGGACGGAGAAGGCUAUGUUGGCCGGGCGACGGUUGUCCCGGUUUAAGCGUGUAGGUGUGUGUUCCAGGUAAAUCCGGUUCACUUUAACACUGAGGCGUGACGACGAGGCACUACGGUGCUGAAGCAACAAAUGCCCUGCUUCCAGGAAAAGCCUCUAAGCAUCAGGUAACAUCAAAUCGUACCCCAAACCGACACAGGUGGUCAGGUAGAGAAUACCAAGGCGCUUGAGAGAACUCGGGUGAAGGAACUAGGCAAAAUGGUGCCGUAACUUCGGGAGAAGGCACGCUGACACGUAGGUGAAGUGAUUUACUCAUGGAGCUGAAGUCAGUCGAAGAUACCAGCUGGCUGCAACUGUUUAUUAAAAACACAGCACUGUGCAAACACGAAAGUGGACGUAUACGGUGUGACGCCUGCCCGGUGCCGGAAGGUUAAUUGAUGGGGUCAGCGCAAGCGAAGCUCCUGAUCGAAGCCCCGGUAAACGGCGGCCGUAACUAUAACGGUCCUAAGGUAGCGAAAUUCCUUGUCGGGUAAGUUCCGACCUGCACGAAUGGCGUAAUGAUGGCCAGGCUGUCUCCACCCGAGACUCAGUGAAAUUGAACUCGCUGUGAAGAUGCAGUGUACCCGCGGCAAGACGGAAAGACCCCGUGAACCUUUACUAUAGCUUGACACUGAACAUUGAGCCUUGAUGUGUAGGAUAGGUGGGAGGCUUUGAAGUGUGGACGCCAGUCUGCAUGGAGCCGACCUUGAAAUACCACCCUUUAAUGUUUGAUGUUCUAACGUGGACCCGUUACCCGGGUUGCGGACAGUGUCUGGUGGGUAGUUUGACUGGGGCGGUCUCCUCCUAAAGAGUAACGGAGGAGCACGAAGGUUGGCUAAUCCUGGUCGGACAUCAGGAGGUUAGUGCAAUGGCAUAAGCCAGCUUGACUGCGAGCGUGACGGCGCGAGCAGGUGCGAAAGCAGGUCAUAGUGAUCCGGUGGUUCUGAAUGGAAGGGCCAUCGCUCAACGGAUAAAAGGUACUCCGGGGAUAACAGGCUGAUACCGCCCAAGAGUUCAUAUCGACGGCGGUGUUUGGCACCUCGAUGUCGGCUCAUCACAUCCUGGGGCUGAAGUAGGUCCCAAGGGUAUGGCUGUUCGCCAUUUAAAGUGGUACGCGAGCUGGGUUUAGAACGUCGUGAGACAGUUCGGUCCCUAUCUGCCGUGGGCGCUGGAGAACUGAGGGGGGCUGCUCCUAGUACGAGAGGACCGGAGUGGACGCAUCACUGGUGUUCGGGUUGUCAUGCCAAUGGCACUGCCCGGUAGCUAAAUGCGGAAGAGAUAAGUGCUGAAAGCAUCUAAGCACGAAACUUGCCCCGA
rnacentral:rRNA from 1 species